rnacentral:rRNA from 1 species
GACGAACGCUGGCGGCGUGCCUAAUACAUGCAAGUAGAACGCUGAAGGAGGAGCUUGCUUCUCCGGAUGAGUUGAGAACGGGUGAGUAACGCGUAGGUAACCUGCCUGGUAGCGGGGGAUAACUAUUGGAAACGAUAGCUAAUACCGCAUAAGAGUAGAUGUCGCAUGACAUUUGCUUAAAAGGUGCAACUGCACCACUACCAGAUGGACCUGCGUUGUAUUAGCUAGUUGGUGAGGUAACGGCUCACCAAGGCAACGAUACAUAGCCGACCUGAGAGGGUGAUCGGCCACACUGGGACUGAGACACGGCCCAGACUCCUACGGGAGGCAGCAGUAGGGAAUCUUCGGCAAUGGACGGAAGUCUGACCGAGCAACGCCGCGUGAGUGAAGAAGGUUUUCGGAUCGUAAAGCUCUGUUGUAAGAGAAGAACGAGUGUGAGAGUGGAAAGUUCACACUGUGACGGUAUCUUACCAGAAAGGGACGGCUAACUACGUG